CCCUUAGAUGUCCUGGGCUGCACGCGCGCUACACUGAUGUGUCCAGUAAGCACCUAACCUCUUCCGAAAGGAACGGGUAACCUUUGCAAAGCACAUCGUGAUGGGGAUAGAUUAUUGCAAUUAUUAGUCUUGAACGAGGAAUUCCUAGUAAGCACAAGUCAUCAGCUUGUGUUGAUUACGUCCCUGCCCUUUGUACACACCGCCCGUCGCUCCUACCGAUUGAGCGAUCCGGUGAAUGUUUUGGACUGGUGUCCGCAAGCGUUUCGCUUCGGACGCUACGAAAUUUUGUAAACCUUAUCGCUUAGAGGAAGGAAAAGUCGUAACA
rnacentral:rRNA from 1 species